UCUGAUCGAUUUGGCAUGCACAACAAAGCUGUUGUCUAAAGUGCACUGCCUGGUUCUCGUCCCCAAACUAGGUCAUACCAGCAAAGUGCUUGGUGCUUGCUCAGCAGAGAAGUGAAUGAAUGUGGUCAAAAUGCAUGCAACAGUAAUGGGAGACUGAAAAAUUAAUAAUUGGAGGAGGGAUCAAUACCCACCCUUCUGGAACUGCAUGUGGUGAACUGUAGUUCAAGCCCAUUGCGUUUUAUACUAAGAUAGUCAAGCUCUGUUAUCUGGGUCUGAGCCGAAGGACACCUUUGUUCUUUUCCUACCACAGCAGGGAGUGAGCGUCUCAGCAUAUCCAGAAAUCUCCAACGACAGAGUUUUAAAAAAACUUGACUCAACACAUUUGGUUAAAGAGUCUUCUGGGAAAGGAAAGCUAAUGACGUGAGGUCUCCACACAAAAUGAUAUACUGAUUAUCAACUCUCUUGAGGAGGGACAGAAGAAAUCGGUUGUCCCAGAAAAGCACAUCAUGGCCCCCACCUCAGCAAGAGGGGUUGCAAUUCAUUUGUUAACACUUCAGCUUGUCUUAGUGGGAAACAUUUUCUGUGGGAAUGUGCUUAUCUGUCCAGAAGAUGCCAGCCACUGGCUAAAUAUCAAGGUCGUUAUUCAGGAACUGCUGUGUAGAGGUCACAACGUCAACAUCCUAACUCCGUCAACAACCUUUUUAAUAAAACCCAGUGAUGAUAUAGCGGCUGCCAGGUCUGAGGUGUACCAAGUGUCCUAUGGAAAGAGUGCCAUGGACUCCUCUAUGCAGGAGCUCACAAUGUUGGGGUUGAACAACAAGCCAACCAUCCUGACCUUCCACAGCUUCUACCAAGCAGCAUGAUGUUCUGUUUGCGGACCUGGUCGCGCCCUGUGGCGACCUGAUUGCUCUGAAGUUGAACAUCCCAUUUCUGUUCACCGUGAGGAUCACGCCAGCCUCAACGGUGGAGAGACACUGUGGCAAAAUACCUGCUCCCCCUUCGUAUGUUCCCGCUAUCAUGUCUGGGCUCACGGACAGAAUGUCUUUUGGAGAAAGGGUGAAGAAUAUAAUAUCUUACCUCGUGCAAGAUUAUAUUUACCAGACCUGGUGGGAAGAGUGGGACUCUUAUUACAGUCAGGUUUUAGGGAGACCCACAACUCAUUGUGAAGUGAUGGGGGAAAGCAGAGAUCUGGUUGAUCCGCACCUACUGGGACUUUGAAUUCCCGCUGCCUUUCCUACCAAAUUUUGAAUUUGUGAGGGGUCUGCACCAUGGGCGUAGACAGGGGGGCAGGAGGGGGCAGCUGCCCCCCCUAGAAGCAGGGCCGGCGAAGCGGUCGUCAGA